rnacentral:lncRNA from 1 species
UUACAUUUUUAUCUCAUGUUUUUCUCAAUUAGCCAAAAUGUCUAGCUAGCUUGAUCCCAAUAGCAGUAUGAAGGCCUAUUCCUUUUCAAAAAACUGGCAUUAAAAUUGGUCAGCGCAUACAUAAUUUAGAUUGAAUAUUAUAUUUUUUGUUUAAAAAUACUUAAAAUGUACCCAAAACCUUAAAUCAAAUCUUGCCCCAAAGCUUGAUUCGGCAUCCUAGGCAACUGAGGAUAUUGUAAACAGGAUUUUUUUUGGAAUAAAAAAGUAUCUACAAAAUCAAACCAAAAAUGACCCCAAAAUAUUGUUUUGAAAAAAUGUAGUUUUAUAUACAAUAUAUAGCGAAAAAUCUCAAGCGACGAAUAAUUAUGGCCACACUCUGUAUUUAAAAAAAACUUGUUUUUCUUCAACACUGGUUUGUCCCCACUCAUCCAAUCCACUGUAUAAGAAAUACCCAUGUCUCUAACAACCCCAAAUAAGUUGUUUAGACACAUGGUCAUAAGAAUGAUGGCUCGUCAUUUAUUAUAACUUGUGUAAUCUAAUUUUAUCAAAGAAAAGAAAGAAACGAAAAAAAAGACCCCAUAUGUGUGUCACUAGUUGGCUCGUCAUUUAUUAUAACUGUGUUAUCUUAUUUUAUCAAAGAAAAGAAAGAAACGAAGAAAAAAAAAGACCCCAUAUGUGUGUCACUAGUUGGCUCGUCAUUUAUUAUAACUGUGUUAUCUUAUUUUAUCAAAGAAAAGAAAGAAACGAAGAAAAAAAAAGACCCCAUAUGUGUGUCACUAGUUGGCUCGUCAUUUAUUAUAACUUGUGUUAUCUUAUUUUAUCAAAGAAAAGAAAGAAACGAAGAAAAAAAAGACCCAUAUGUGUGUCACUAGUUGGCUCGUCAUUUAUUAUAACUUAUGUUAUCUUAUUUUAUCAAAGAAAAGAAAGAAACGAAGAAAAAAAAGAC